AUGAACGCUGGCGGCGUGCCUAAUACCUGCAAGUCGAGCGAACGGACGAGAAGCUUGCUUUUCUGAUGUUAGCGGCGGACGGGUGAGUAACACGUGGAUAACCUACCUAUAAGACUGGGAUAACUUCGGGAAACCGGAGCUAAUAUCGGAUAAUAUUUUGAACCGCAUGGUUCAAAAGUGAAAGACGGUCUUGCUGUCACUUAUAGAUGGAUCCGCGCUGCAUUAGCUAGUUGGUAAGGUAACGGCUUACCAAGGCAACGAUGCAUAGCCGACCUGAGAGGGUGAUCGGCCACACUGGAACUGAGACACGGUCCAGACUCCUACGGGAGGCAGCAGUAGGGAAUCUUCCGCAAUGGGCGAAAGCCUGACGGAGCAACGCCGCGUGAGUGAUGAAGGUCUUCGGAUCGUAAAACUCUGUUAUUAGGGAAGAACAUAUGUGUAAGUAACUGUGCACAUCUUGACGGUACCUAAUCAGAAAGCCACGGCUAACUACGUG
rnacentral:rRNA from 1 species